rnacentral:rRNA from 1 species
GACGAACGCUGGCGGCGUGCUUAACACAUGCAAGUCGAACGGAAAGGCCCUGCUUUUGUGGGGUGCUCGAGUGGCGAACGGGUGAGUAACACGUGAGUAACCUGCCCUUGACUUUGGGAAACUUCAGGAAACUGGGGCUAAUACCGGAUAGGAGCUCCUGCUGCAUGGUUGGGGUUGGAAAGUUUCGGCGGUUGGGGAUGGACUCGCGGCUUAUCAGCUUGUUGGUGGGGUAGUGGCUUACCAAGGCUUUGACGGGUAGCCGGCCUGAGAGGGUGACCGGCCACAUUGGGACUGAGAUACGGCCCAGACUCCUACGGGAGGCAGCAGUGGGGAAUAUUGCACAAUGGGCGGAAGCCUGAUGCAGCAACGCCGCGUGCGGGAUGACGGCCUUCGGGUUGUAAACCGCUUUCGCCUGUGACGAAGCGUGAGUGACGGUAAUGGGUAAAGAAGCACCGGCUAACUACGUG